CGUGGGUAACCUGCCUCAGUGAGGGGGAUAGCCUUCCGAAAGGAAAGAUUAAUACCGCAUAAUAUCUUAUGGCCACAUGGUCAUUUGAUUAAAGGAGUAAUCCGCACUGAGAUGGACCCGCGGCGCAUUAGCUAGUUGGUGAGGUAACGGCUCACCAAGGCCACGAUGCGUAGCCGACCUGAGAGGGUGAUCGGCCACAUUGGAACUGAGAUACGGUCCAG
rnacentral:rRNA from 1 species